AUCGUAACUAUCGAUUAGCUCCUUGCGGUCCGCUGCAUGAAAGUAGCGGCCGGCUGUGGUGGAUGCCACCACCUGGAGCGCUUCUUUGUCCAAUUUCUCUUCUCCGGUAGCCGUAGGAUCUCCCACGCCGAUGACAUGAAUCGUAACACCAUUGUCUUUGGCAAUUCGUGCUGCUUCGGCUGGAGGCACCUUGCUCCCUGUAUCGUUGCCAUCUGUCAGAGCAAUCAUGACCCGUUCGUCCAGCUCGCUGCGCUCGAACAGCGUGAUGCCAAGCCCAAUAGCAUCACCGAAUGCAGUUCGUGGACCUGCCAUCCGAACUGCUGUCUCGUCGAGAAGAAUUCGACAGGCCUCCAGAUCUUGCGUAAAAGGCACUUGCACAAAGGCGGCAUUACCAAAGAUGAUUAGAUACCA
rnacentral:rRNA from 1 species